rnacentral:lncRNA from 1 species
CCACAAAAUAAGUAUACAACACCCAUUCUGAGUCGUCAAAUACAUGGUACAGAAAGCAAACUACAACUUCAAUAAUACAAUUGUCGUGCAAAAUACGACAACACAUACUGUGAGUUUAAAUACAAAUAUUGUUUUCUAGACAAUAUUCACACCCAAAUAAGUCCUCAUUACAAUUAUUCAUACACUAUUUUAUAGAAAUAGUGAGGACUGCUAAAACAUCUUUCUAGAAGCAUCACUCCAUACCCCGACUAGAUCCUGCUAUGUUCUCACCUCCUGAGAAAAAAAAUGAAACAAAAAGAAAAAGGAUGAACUCAACUAACCCAGUAAAGAAUAUUAUGACUAAGAUAAUAUAUAACAAAUUAUCAUUAGUCUUCAACAGGGAAAAAUCUGAUAGAAUAUAAUAGACAACAAGUUUUAGAUCAACAAAUACAGCGGAAACAAUAAUCCAUUAGAAGAGUCACGUAGAGAAUGAAUUUUACUAUCUUCUAAGAUUUAAGAGUCCGUCGUCAAUAUUUUAUCUCUAUAACAUCAAUCAAUAUACAUCUUUUAAUCAAAUAUUCAUCUUUGCACUACAGGCCAAAGAUAUUCAUUUAUUUCACCCGUUGGUCAUGUUCAUCUCAACACCUGUUCAUCUUUACACUACAGGCCAAAGAUAUUCAUUCAUCUUUGCACUACAGGCCAAAGAUAUUCUGUAAUAUCAUCAUUUAGGACUGAGGAUGAUGAAAAAUAUUUUAAAGAAAACGAAUCCAGUGAGACAGAAGAACAAAUAUUAGGAAUUCGUAUAACAGUUUAUCCAAGAUCAAUAAUACUCCAUAAUUACCAAUUUUGAAGCAGAAUUCAAAAAUAAAGAUCAAAACAUGGAUACAAUCAAAGAUAGUAACCAUAAUAGACAUCUUGGACAAAAAGAAAAAAAUUUCAUUUUUCGGUGAAUAGUGCCGUAUUCGUGAAUAGUGUCGUAUACGUGAAUAGUGUCGUAUACGUGAAUAGUAACCCCGACACAAAAAAUUUCAAAUUUGAUUAAAAAGUUCAGAUCAAUACUUCGGCAUAAUGAUAUUGAAAGAAAUAAUAUCAUAUAUGAAGAAAAUAACAUCUCUUAUCUCAAAAUAACGGUACUUCUGAUCAGAAUAUCGGAUAGAAAGCCGAAGAAAACUUGUACCGAACAACAACUCUCAAAAUAUCAAAAUACUCACAAAAAUACGCUCGAAAAUCUAGAGAGAAAGAAAACUUAUUUCUGGUGUGAUUUUCAAUUCUAAACUAAGCGUCUAUUUAUAGGAAAAUGCUAGAACGUCAUAGGAGACUAAAAUAAUAAAUUAAUAUUAUUUAUUCUCAUUUUUUCUACGCAUGCUUUAAAAGCCAUCAACCCCUCAUUUCUGAAAUUUUAGCAGCCCACGUGUUAUUAACACCAACCAAAAGUAGGUCCCACCCAUAAAUUUAAUAAAAAUCAUUUUAUUUUUCAAAACUACAACAAUUCAUAAAAAAUAACCCGUUUAUCAGAAAAAUACGAAUUUUAUAUCCAUUUCGCAUGAAAUUGAAUUCUCUACAACUUUGUAGUUUUGAGUUUUUUCCAAAUUUCAAACAGAAAAUAUCCGAAAUCCAUAAACGGGUGAUUUUUAAUAUUUUCCUUCCGACAAAAUACUGAUAAAACAACUCAGCAUUAAUUCCUUCAAUUAUAUUCACAUAAAAUAAAUAUAUCCAUCAAUUAUAUCAAAUAAAUAUUUCCUUAUCAUAUAAAUCAAUAAUUAAUUAUUCACAAAUAAUAUUACAGAAUCACAUUUAUGACAACCAAGCAGUUCCCAGGAAAGAGGGAGCUUUCCAAUAAGGAUUUCUCCUUACUCUCGCGCAAUUAGGUGACCAAGCCUCUCCUUAACAGAACUUUUUAGACAUUGUCAAUAAUGCUAUCUAAUAAUAUUAUUCAAAUAAUAUAAAUUAUUGAUCUGAUAAUGAAAAAUACUGUGCAAUGAUAAUUAUUGAAACAACAAUAAUAUAAACUAUCAAUACAACAAUUAUUGAAUCAAUAAAAUAAAAUAUUGAACAGUAACUACUGUAACAAUUAUUGAGUAGUGUCUUCUUACGUAAGAAUCAAUAAUUCAACAAUAAUGUGCAACCACGCGUAUUACUGUAUUUUAACCACCGGGUAUUCUAACAGUGUUAACGGUAACAAUUACGCCGUUAUUCAUAAAAACUCAUACUUUGUCGUUUUCUUCAUCCGACAGUUACUCCGUUAUGGGCCCACAAUUGACUGCACCGUCGUACGGAUAUCCCCAACAAAAAGAAUAUUUUAUAACCACUUGCUUUUUUUGUAAAAUUUACACAUUUCACCCAUAAUCAAAGUAUUAUAUCAAAUUAACCCUUAUUAAUUUAGAAUAAUAAAUAGAGAAAAAUUCAAUUUUAUUUAUAAUAAGUUGAGAUCUUACGGUAACUGGUUUCGACCACAUAAUAUGAUCCUAGUUGUUCCCAUCUUCUGUUGCCUCUAGCACUGCACCCACCACAAACAUUUUGCCAGUAUCAGUUGUAUUGUGUUCGUAAACACAAAUUGCAAUGACGGCAUUAUUAAGUCCAACAAAUUAGUUUUAAUGUAAUAUAAUAAUGCUCAUGUUUAAAUAAACUGGGGUGUUAACAAAUGUACCAAGUGUACAUAUGGAUGCAGUAUGCAAAUUUAACUGUUUGUUUGCUCGUUAUUUCUCUUUUUCCAUUUCGUUUCCAUCUUUUCCCUGUUGAAUUCUCUUUUGGGUGCUUGGGUCAGGUAGACAUAGAGUGCAAGUUACAUGACCAUGAUUUACAAAGGUAACAUCCACCUUAUUUUCUAGUUGAUUUUCAGAAAUUCCAGCCAUCAUCACAGACCAAUUACUAUCAAGGCAAGAGAAGGUGAACUUUCAAUGGCACUUUAAAAUUAAUCUAUCAAAUCUGAAGGAUGCAAAAAAGAAACACCAAUAGGAACACCAAAUGUUGAUUUUGCGACAUUUACAGAAAGUACCAACAGAAAGCAAGAAUUGAGAGACAAAGGGUUUUACAGUUUACCUCGUCUUUUUCUUCCUGAGCAUAUUAUGUUCAACCAUCUGACCAUUCGGUUGAUUCAUCUGGCUGAAAUAUAACUUGACCACAUUUAACCUCUUCAGAGGGUUGACAUUGACUCCAUUCUUCCUCUUGAGAUGGUUGACCUAAUUCUCCCUCUUCAGUUGGUUGACCCCAUUCUACCUCUUUAGAUGGUUGACACCAUUCUCCCUCUUUAGAUGGUUGACCCCAUUCUCCCUCUUGCGAUUGUUGACCCCAUUCUCCCUCGUUAAAGGAUUGACCCCAUUCUCCCUCUUCAGGCGGUUGACCCCAUUCUCCCGCUUUCCAGGGUUGAAGGUUCUCAUCCUGUUCUUUAUCCAGAUAGUCCACUUUUGCCGGGUUUUCGUCAAGCAAAUCCUCCCUAUCUGGGAGAAAGCAACCUUUGUAGGAGCCAUUAUCGAAACAAUA